GGCUUACUACUUUUGCCGGCGAGCGGCGGACGGGUGAGUAAUGCCUGGGGAUCUGCCCAGUCGAGGGGGAUAACUACUGGAAACGGUAGCUAAUACCGCAUACGCCCUACGGGGGAAAGCAGGGGACCUUCGGGCCUUGCGCGAUUGGAUGAACCCAGGUGGGAUUAGCUAGUUGGUGAGGUAAUGGCUCACCAAGGCGACGAUCCCUAGCUGGUCUGAGAGGAUGAUCAGCCACACUGGAACUGAGACACGGUCCAGACUCCUACGGGAGGCAGCAGUGGGGAAUAUUGCAAAAUGGGGGAAACCCUGAUGCAGCCAUGCCGCGUGUGUGAAGAAGGCCUUCGGGUCGUAAAGCACUUUCAGCGAGGAGGAAAGGUUGGUAGCUAAUAAGGGCCAGCUGUGACGUUACUCGCAGAAGAAGCACCGGUCUAAAAGGCCGUGCCAGCAGCCGCGGUAAU
rnacentral:rRNA from 1 species